CAGAGGGUGCAAGCGUUAAUCGGAAUUACUGGGCGUAAAGCGUGCGUAGUCGGUUAUUUAAGUCGGGUGUGAAAGCCCCGGGCUCAACCUGGGAAUUGCAUUCGAUACUGGAUAGCUAGAGUUCGGCAGAGGGAAGCGGAAUUUCCGGUGUAGCGGUGAAAUGCGUAGAUAUCGGAAGGAACAUCAGUGGCGAAAGCGGCUUCCUGGACCAGAACUGACGAUCAGGCACGAAAGCGUGGGGAGCAAACAGGAUUAGAUACCCUGGUAGUCCACGCCAUAAACGAUGACAACUAGACGUUGGGAGGGUAAGCCUCACAGUGUCGCAGCCAACGCGUUAAGUUGUCCGCCUGGGGAGUACGGCCGCAAGGUUG
rnacentral:rRNA from 1 species